rnacentral:rRNA from 1 species
AUUGAACGCUGGCGGCAUGCCUUACACAUGCAAGUCGAACGGUAACAGGUCUUCGGAUGCUGACGAGUGGCGAACGGGUGAGUAAUACAUCGGAACGUGCCUAGUAGUGGGGGAUAACUACUCGAAAGAGUGGCUAAUACCGCAUGAGAUCUACGGAUGAAAGCAGGGGAUCGCAAGACCUUGUGCUACUAGAGCGGCCGAUGACAGAUUAGGUAGUUGGUGGGAUAAAAGCUUGCCAAGCCGACGAUCUGUAGCUGGUCUGAGAGGACGAUCAGCCACACUGGGACUGAGACACGGCCCAGACUCCUACGGGAGGCAGCAGUGGGGAAUUUUGGACAAUGGGCGCAAGCCUGAUCCAGCAAUGCCGCGUGCAGGAUGAAGGCCUUCGGGUUGUAAACUGCUUUUGUACGGAACGAAAAGCCCUGGGUUAAUACCCUGGGGUCAUGACGGUACCGUAAGAAUAAGCACCGGCUAACUACGUGCCAGCCGCCGCCGUAA